ACAUUUAAUUUAGAGGCGCCUUUCAAGACACCCAAGGUCACCUUACAGAGCAUAUAGUCAUCAUUCAAAACUAUGUAAAACAGACUAGGAAUAAAAGGAAAACAGAGGUUAAACAUGAAGAAUAAUAAUAAUUAAUAACACUCAAAGACGCCUAAAGUGAAGGGGGGACCUCACUAACCACCACCAAUAUGUAGCACCCACUUGGGUGAUGCACGGCAGCCAAUCGGUGCCAGAACGCUCACUACACACCAGCUUGAGGUGGAGAGUUAUGCCCUGUUUACACCUACCCGAUAGUGGGCCCCGAUGGUGCCCGAUGGCUAAAUAAGCAGCUAUCGUUAUAACAUCGGCAAAUAGCGUGGUUGCAUCGGGAAACAUCGUUACUCUUCCCGGGAAGAAACGGGAAGAAAUGCUCAAUGAUCGGGCAACAACGGGCAACAUCGGCAAAGAACGAACAUGUUUGUUAAUUUUGGGUCUAUCGGGGUAGAAUCGGUUAACAGGUGUUGCUAUGGGCUAAUCGGCUAUAAUCGGGAAUAGAACGGGAGUAUAACGUAAGACAUCGCAAAUCGUUCGGGAAUUUUCCUGGGCACAUCGGCUAUAUUCGUUAAUCUUCCGCGCUUUAUCGUGUUUUAUCGUCUUUAUAUCGGCAACCUCAACACACGAAA